AACCUUCCACAAUGGGCGCAAGCCUGAUGGAGCAACACCGCGUGAGUGAAGAAGGGUUUCGGCUCGUAAAGCUCUGUUGUUAAAGAAGAACACGUAUGAGAGUAACUGUUCAUACGUUGACGGUAUUUAACCAGAAAGUCACGGCUAACUACGUGCCAGCAGCCGCGGUAAUACGUAGGUGGCAAGCGUUAUCCGGAUUUAUUGGGCGUAAAGAGAGUGCAGGCGGUUUUCUAAGUCUGAUGUGAAAGCCUUCGGCUUAACCGGAGAAGUGCAUCGGAAACUGGAUAACUUGAGUGCAGAAGAGGGUAGUGGAACUCCAUGUGUAGCGGUGGAAUGCGUAGAUAUAUGGAAGAACACCAGUGGCGAAGGCGGCUACCUGGUCUGCAACUGACGCUGAGACUCGAAAGCAUGGGUAGCGAACAGGAUUAGAUACCCUGGUAG
rnacentral:rRNA from 1 species